GCUUAAAUAGUUUAUUUUUAAAAUAUUAGAUUGUGGAACUAAAGAAUAUUUUUAAGCA
rnacentral:tRNA from 1 species